rnacentral:lncRNA from 1 species
GCCAUGAGGGCGGGAACCCUCGUACGCGGAAGUUCAUGAGGGCGGGACCCUCGUACGCGGAAGGUCAUGAGGGCGGGACCCUCGUACGCGGAAGUUCAUGCGGGCGGGACCCUCGUACGUGGAAGGUCAUGAGGGCGGGACCCUCGUACGUGGAAGGUCAUGAGGGCGGAACCCUGGUACAUGAAAUUCGUUCUCUUAUUUAAGAGACAAAGAACGCCCUUGUUUUUUCCACCACGUGAUGGCGCAGACAGAAGACAACCAGCAUCUAUGAACCAGGAAGCCCCCACCAGGCACUGAAUCUGCCCCUGCGUGGAUCUUAGACUUGCAGACUCCAGAACUAACCUUACAAUGUCUCUUCUCCAUUAAGAAAACCUACUUCAACAUCUCCAUUGGUUCUCAACAUAGAGGAGGAAAAUAAUCAUAUUUCAUCACAGUAUUUAAGUAAGGAUCAAAGACUCUAAGAUAACUGAAAGCACUAAAUUAAUUUUCUUCACCAAGAUCACAGGAAAAACAGAAACUACAAGGAGAAAUGGAAAAAGCUGGACCUUCCCUAUGGACAUGGGGAAAAGUGGCUAUCUGGAAGUCAAGGGAAAAGAGAGAUUUUUCUUUAUAAAAUAAAAGAAAUGCCUGAACCACCAAACUGGACCACAAGCUUGAUCCAAGGAUGGUGCCUGACCCUGCACAAGGAACUCUCAGGAAAGGAACACUUCAAUGAGGGUGAUAAGGAAACUGUGUAGUUUUAAGGGAGGCCUGAGCCCUGACUCAUCAGUUUGCUUCUAAGUGUUCUCUCAGCCCAUCACCAACUCAGCUUCUGACCUAAUCAACCCCCCACCCCGUGAGCCCAGCUCCUACUUUCAACCCCAACCCCAGACUGAAACCUUAGCACCUACUUUAGCUAACACCUCUAGCUCCAAACACCCUACAUCCUAUUCCAGUCUAACCUCAUCAUCAAACAUUACCUGUAUUCAAACUCCAUAUCUUUUUUUCAAAGAAGUGCAUUCAAAACCAUAUAUACACAUACAUCUUUGCUUUUACUGUAAACAAGGCAAUCGUAAAGCCAUAUGCUUUUACAUUAUAAAGUAACCUUUCGCAGGUUUCUGAUUUUCUAAAAAACAAGUUUUGUUGAAGUUUCUGAAGUAUU